GUGAGUUCAGUCAUCAGUUUGAUCACAUGAGAGAGGAGCAGGCAGAGAAGGUCCUCAGAUUCUUCAUCCUGCCCUUCCUGUCCAGAAACUCCUCAGAUCCGGAAUGUAUCUCUAACAACAGCGUUGAAUGGCUCCUCAACAACUAUGGGCGAUUCUCUGUCCUCGUCCCACUUAGAAGUCUACUUGACCAGAAUAAGCACUUCAAUCCACUGGCUGCCCUGGACGUCCUCUCUGCCCAGCAGAAGGCUGAGCUGGUCCUCCUGCCGCUCCCUGGCCUCCCUCCUAAAGGGGAGGUCAUCAGGGUCGUCUUCGCCCACCUCCUGGAGUCUCCUGUGGGGCGUCAGAUGUCCGAGGUCCUUCGUCAUCUCGAUAGGAUCUCUGCACAGAAUGAGAUACCAUGUGACAUACUCCAGCCAGUAUCGGAAAACCUGUACCUGGCUCUGUCCUAUGUUCCUCCUGCACUAGAACCCAUUAUUUACGCAACCGCAGAUCAGUUGAGAUGGAACGCACCACAAGGUUGCAAGCUUCCUCUACCACCUUCAUGUCCUUUCACAAAGAUCAAUGGUAAGUUUGCUGUCAAAUAGUGGCUAAGUUUAUGUCAUCGCAUAUGAUCUUUUUUCCUUCAUACUACCUAAUCUUGAUAAUGUAUCAUCAUCAUUUCUCAUAUUCUCUGCAGAGAGUGACAUCUGUAAUGGAAUCAACAGCUCUGAUCUGCAGCAUCACUUGGAUGUCGGACAUGUUCCCUGUUACUACAGCGUAUCGGAAUAUGCAUGUGCACAGCUCUCAGGAUUCAGUGCACACAAUCUCACCCAGCUCCUGGUGUGCAAGCUGUCCAGCAACAUGACUUACUCUAGGGAGACCUGGAAACUGCUCCUCACCAAAACCUCUGCAGUUCUGGAUGAAGCUCUCAUCAUGUUCUCCCACAUGGUCUCCAACAUGUCUCUCCCCAUCUUCAGACCCUCCGUAUCUCUCGUCUUGGAUGUCCUUGGUGAGAUUCGGCUGGACAGGCUCGAUCCCGAGUCCUGGAGCGACAUCGACUUCAUUUCCAUGGUGUUUGGUGACAGCCUGCGGCCGUUCUUGCCCUCCGCCUCUGGCAGUCUCCUGCACUGUGUCAGCAGCAAGAACCUCACAUGCAGGACGUAUCAACACAUAGUACAAGAGUUCAGCCUCCAGUUUGACCAUAUGGAUGAUAUGCAGAGGGGCACUGUGCUCCGAUUCUUCAUCUUCCCCUUCCUGAACAAAACACAGUCAGUGGGCGGGUGCAACACUAAUGACAGCGCUGAGUGGCUCAUGAACAGCUUCGGAGCGUUCUCAGCCGUGCCGAGCCUUGGGGAGCUUGUUGGGGCCAAUCCACACUUUUCUCCGCUGGCCGCACUGGCCCUCCUCUCCCCCCGACAGACUGCCGAGCUGAUGGCCGCGCCCCCACGCACACUUCCGGACACGGAGGAGGUCAUCAACCGCGUGUUCGACCACCUGCUGGAAGCUCCGGAGGAGAGGGGAUUCCCAGCAGUCCUUCACCAACUCGUCCUGCUCUCACAAGAGAUCCAGAUACCGUGUCCAUCCUAUCAAACAAUUUUCAGAAGGCUCUAUCAAGCCCGGCCAUCUUUGACACCUGAACUAGAAGCUGUUGUAUUUGACGCAAGCAGGAGGCUGAUGCCCUCAGUACCACAAGGUUGCCAGCUGCCUCUUCCAGCUUCAUGUCCCUCCACCCAUGUUAAUGAGACCAGAGUGUGUGCUGGCAUCAACAG
ensembl:lncRNA